CCUACGGGCGGCUGCAGUGGGGAAUAUUGCACAAUGGGCGCAAGCCUGAUGCAGCCAUGCCGCGUGUGUGAAGAAGGCCUUCGGGUUGUAAAGCACUUUCAGCGGGGAGGAAGGCGGUGAGGUUAAUAACCUCAUCGAUUGACGUUACCCGCAGAAGAAGCACCGGCUAACUCCGUGCCAGCCGCCGCGGUAAUACGGAGGGUGCAAGCGUUAAUCGGAAUUACUGGGCGUAAAGCGCACGCAGGCGGUCUGUCAAGUCGGAUGUGAAAUCCCCGGGCUCAACCUGGGAACUGCAUUCGAAACUGGCAGGCUAGAGUCUUGUAGAGGGGGGUAGAAUUCCAGGUGUAGCGGUGAAAUGCGUAGAGAUCUGGAGGAAUACCGGUGGCGAAGGCGGCCCCCUGGACAAAGACUGACGCUCAGGUGCGAAAGCGUGGGGAGCAAACAGGAUUAGAUACCCGAGUAGUC
rnacentral:rRNA from 1 species